rnacentral:misc_RNA from 1 species
GCCAACAACUUGCAUCAGAUCUUAAUGUUCCGUAUGAUAAAUCAAAAGUUCACCCUGCUGCACUGGUGAUGGACAAGUAUGGCAUUUCAAAUUGGGAACUGUUCCGAGCAUGCUUCUCAAGAGAAUGGCUGCUGAUGAAGCGAAGCUCCUUUGUGUAUAUAUUCAAGACGACCCAAAUAACAAUCAUGUCCGUAAUUGCUUUCACGGUGUUCCUAAGGACAAAAAUGAAAGUGGGCACUGUUGCAGACGGACAAAAAUUCUUUGGAGCGCUGUUUUUUAGCCUAAUUAAUGUGAUGUUUAAUGGGAUGGCAGAACUU